ensembl:lncRNA
AUUAGAUUAUUUGAGGAUGUCAUGCUAGAAGAUGGAACUUUUAUUUUCAGAUUUCCCUGCUUCCUGAAAAUAGCAAUGAGUAACAGGAAAAAAAAAUCUUUAAUGCCAUCUCUGAGCUUUCUGCUUUCUGAAAAGAACUAUGGUAUAGCUCGAAGGUUGGGAGAGAGAGAGGAGAGAGAAAAGCUCUUUGCAGAAAUAUUUUAUCUUUUCCAGAACAUCAUCCUGUCUCUGUGCAUACGUACACUCCCAGUGGCAAGCUCACUCCAUCUCCACAGCUCUACAUAUCUUCAAGCGUGUUCAUAAAUUAUGUCAGGAAGGAGCUACAAUCUUGUCUUGAAUAACUGCAAGUAGCAUCAUACAUUGGGCCCUAGAGCUGGCUGUAAAAUGUGGUCCUGGGUGAUCUCACUGCACUUCCUCCUUUAGGACAAUAAGGUUUCAUAGGGGUUCUCUGUGUCGGUGGUCCACACAGGAUUUUGAGGGUUAUUUGUUGACAGACUGAUCCUUGGCAAGCAUCACAUUGCUAUUUCUGUAGUCACCUGCCUCCUUGUCGAUGUUCACAGAUGGCUUAAAGUACCUUUUCCUUCUUGUGCCUCAGUUUCUUCAUUUGCCAAGCUAUGACACCACUGCGCUGUCCACGGAAAGUUAUUAUAAGUGUAAGUAAAAUAAAACACCCAGAAUUUCUCAAACAGUGCCUGCCACAUAGCAAAAAAUAACACUGGAUAAAUGCUAAUGUAAAACGUAUGUUCUCCUGUGCAGUCUUGAGAUUAUAAAUCCUAGGAAUUAGAUGACUUCCUUUCUUCUAGAUCCAUCAUUACUUAUGCCCUUCCUAUGAAGGUAUGGUGUAAUUUUGUGCUGUUUUAGUGUGUUCCUAGGAGGACAGGUGUGCAGAGAGAAUGAUUUAGUUUGAAGUGUCAUGCUGAGUUUGCACACUGAUGGUCUCCUCUGCAGUGCCUAGGAACGAAGUAGGAAGUUUGUGCUGGUGACACAGCAUUCCUAGGAAAGAGGUAGGAAGCUUGUACUGGUGACCACAGCAGUCCUAGGAAAGAGGUAGGAAGUUUGUGCUGGUGACACAGCAGUCCUAGGAAAGAGGUAGGAAGUUUGUGCUGGUGACACAGCAGUCCUAGGAAAGAGGUAGGAAGUUUGUGCUGUGACACAGCAGUCCUAGGAAAGAGGUAGGAAGUUUGUGCUGGUGACACAGCAGUCCUAGCAUUGCCUCCUCACUGCUGCCCAGAUCUGUCUUCUUUGGUCCUGGCACAUUCAACAUUUCAUCAUCUUUUAGUUGCUCUGCUCCUCUUGACCUGGC